UACUCCGUAGCUCAGUGGUUAGAGCUUCCGACUGGUGUACAGAAGGUCAUGGGUUUGAUUCCGUCGGGGACUCAG
rnacentral:tRNA from 1 species